GUUUGAUCCUGGCUCAGAUUGAACGCUGGCGGCAGGCUUAACACAUGCAAGUCGAGCGGUAACAGGGGGUGCUUGCACCCCGCUGACGAGCGGCGGACGGGUGAGUAAUGCUUAGGAAUCUGCCCAGUAGUGGGGGAUAGCCCGGGGAAACCCGGAUUAAUACCGCAUACGUCCUACGGGAGAAAGCAGGGGAUCUUCGGACCUUGCGCUACUGGAUGAGCCUAAGUCGGAUUAGCUAGUUGGUGGGGUAAAGGCCUACCAAGGCGACGAUCCGUAGCUGGUCUGAGAGGAUGAUCAGCCACAUCGGGACUGAGACACGGCCCGAACUCCUACGGGAGGCAGCAGUGGGGAAUAUUGGACAAUGGGGGCAACCCUGAUCCAGCCAUGCCGCGUGUGGGAAGAAGGGCUUCGGGUUGUAAAGGCACUUUCAGCGAGGGAGGAAGGCUUUGAAGUUAAUACCUUCAGGGAUUGACGUUACUCGCAGAAGAAGCACCGGCUAACUCCGUGCCAGCAGCCGCCGGUAAUACGGAGGGUGCAAGCGUUAAUCGGAAUUACUGGGCGUAAAGCGCGCGUAGGUGGUUAGGUAAGCGAGAUGUGAAAGCCCCGGGCUUAACCUGGGAACGGCAUUUCGAACUGUCUGACUAGAGUGUGGUAGAGGGUAGUGGAAUUUCCUGUGUAGCGGUGAAAUGCGUAGAUAUAGGAAGGAACACCAGUGGCGAAGGCGGCUACCUGGACCAACACUGACACUGAGGUGCGAAAGCGUGGGGAGCAAAACAGGAUUAGAUACCCUGGUAGUCCACGCCGUAAACGAUGUCAACUAGCCGUUGGGACUCUUGAAGUCUUAGUGGCGCAGCUAACGCACUAAGUUGACCGCCUGGGGAGUACGGCCGCAAGGUUAAAACUCAAAUGAAUUUGACGGGGGGCCCGCACAAGCGGUGGAGCAUGGUGGUUUUAUUUCGACGCAACGCGAAGAACCUUACCUGGUCUUGACAUCCAGAAGAACUUUCCAGAAGAUGGAUUGGUGUCUUCGGGAACUCUGAAGACAGGUGCUGCAUGGUCGUCUUCAGCUCGUGUCGUGAGAUGUUGGGUUAAGUCCCGUAACGAGCGCAACCCCUAUCCCUGGUUGCUAGCAGGUAAUGCUGAGAACUCCAGGGAGACUGCCGGUGACAAACCGGAGGAAGGUGGGGAUGACGUCAGGUCAUCAUGGCCCUUACGGCCAGGGCUACACACGUGCUACAAUGGCGCGUACAGAGGGCUGCCAACUCGCGAGAGUGCGCCAAUCCCUUAAAACGCGUCGUAGUCCGGAUCGGAGUCUGCAACUCGACUCCGUGAAGUCGGAAUCGCUAGUAAUCGCGAAUCAGAAUGUCGCGGUGAAUACGUUCCCGGGCCUUGUACACACCGCCCGUCACACCAUGGGAGUGGAUUGCACCAGAAGUAGUUAGUCUAACCUUCGGGAGGACGAUUACCACGGUGUGGUUCAUGACUGGGGUGAAGUCGUAACAAGGUAGCCGU
rnacentral:rRNA from 1 species